CCGCACUUCCUCAGUUCCGGCACGUCUGUAGCUGUACAAGAGCCGUGUCGUGUCCAGCGUUAGAAGUGUGAAACAAUCGGCAACGCUCUGUCAACUCGACGUCAUCGAACCGCCGCGUUGAUAGGAUGAAAGCGCGCGAAAUCCAGUCACGGCUGCUCGAGGUCCUUGAAGCGGAACCUGCAGGAACGCAUCCGAAGAACGUCCGAAGACGUCCACUGUCGUCGAGGCGUCCUCUAUCGUUAUGUAAGUCGACAGGCGACGCGGGGCAAGCGAGAAGUCGUCGUCGACCGGGUCGUGGCCUUUGGGCGAACGGGGGCAAGGCGAGUCAGUUCUUCGGCCCGCGAUGCUGCAGUCCAGCGAAGGUCGCUCGAGUCCGGGAGGACCUGGCAAGGCCACCAAAGCUGGUUGGGACGCGCUCUUGCCCAGCUCAUCCAUCCCGCCCUGACCGACCCCGUUUUGUUUCUCCUGCCUGCAAGGUCUCGCUCAAUAUCCGGACACGCUCUGCCCGGCACUCUUUCGUCACAGAAGCGGAGGAGAUUUCUACGUCCCGUUGAUGUCACGCAAAUCCUGACCAGCGAGUGCUAUUCCCAAGAGCAAAGCACCCUGUACCGACGACUCCCGGAUGCCUUUUGCGAUUUUUCAUUCAACCUGCUUCAUGUGCGUCUCGCGCUCUUUUGUGAGCGUUACAAGCAUAUUCCAUCAGUGAAUCUGUGGUAUGUGAUGAUAUUUCCGUCCUGGGUGUUUGGAUAUCCCAUAGAUCAUCGCGCCGAGCCUGUGCUAACCUUUCCCUUCUUAUU